CGAGCUCGCCGGAUCUAGCGGUAGAGCUCGAGCUCCCGAUCUAGGCGAGCCCGAGCUCCGCCGCCAGAUCCGGCGAGCUCGU
rnacentral:pre_miRNA from 1 species